rnacentral:rRNA from 1 species
UAGGGAAUCUUCCGCAAUGGGCGAAAGCUUGCCGGAGCAACGCCGCGUGAGUGCUGAAGGUCUUCGGAUCGUAAAACUCUGUUAUUAGCGAAGAACAAAUGUGUAAGUAACUAUGCACGUCUUGACGGUACCUAAUCAGAAAGCCACGGCUAACUACGUGCCAGCAGCCGCGGUAAUACGUAGGUCGCAAGCUUUAUCCGGAAUUAUUGGGCGUAAAGCGCGCGUAGGCGGUUUUUUAAGUCUGAUGUGAAAGCCCACGGCUCAACCGUGGAGGGUCAUUGGAAACUGGAAAACUUGAGUGCAGAAGAGGAAAGUGGAAUUCCAUGUGUAGCGGUGAAAUGCGCAGGGAUAUGAAGGAACACCAGUGGCGAAGGCGACUGUCUGGUCUGUAACUAACGCUGAUGUGCGAAAGCGUGGGAAUCAAACAGG